ensembl:rRNA 5S_rRNA 5S ribosomal RNA
GUCUACGGCCAUACCACCCUGAACGCGCCCGAUCUCGUCUGAUCUCAGAAGCUAAGCAGGGUCGGGCCUGGUUAGUACUUGGAUGGGACACUCUUCUUUCUAAGCCAGUUACCUUUCCCC